UAUAUAUAUAUAUAUAUAUAUAUAUAUAUAUAAUAUAAUCAUCAAGAAAGUAAUUUUGACUUUGACCAACCUUGGCUUAAUUGUGGAAAAAAGGCAAUGAGGUUGAAUGGUCCCGUUGUUUAAAUUCUAUGGACAUAUUUGUUUCUUUGUCUUUUUGUCCACUGAGUAGUGGUUUUGUUAAUGUCCAAACAUUUGUGUUGAGGGCAUCAGUGGAAGUGACACAAUUUUGUUUAGAUUUACAUAGAGCUGAACAUUGUGACUGAUUAUUUCACUAUGUGCCCAUGAUGAGCUUUAAGGAUACCAUGAUGUUAGUCGUGUUUCUGUGUGUCUGUAAAUGUUUUCUUUAAACAACAUAAACUUCUGAAUCACAUGUCAGAAUUAGAUAAAAAUUGUUUGAAUUGUUCUGGUUCUGGGUUAUGGGUUUCAAAAUUGAAACUUAACUGUGGACCUAGAUAUUUGGUAUGUAGCAUUAAAUAGCGUUCACAUUUGGGUAGUGUCAUAAUCUACAUGUCCUCUGUACAAUUAAUCCAAAUCAUUGCCCUGGUGUCAAAACAUGCCUUGCCCUGUGUGUUGCCAGUUUUACAUAGACUAAGACUCUUGCAGUGCUUUCAUAUUUUGUAUUUUUACAAACUUUGCUCAAAUGAUGCCCCUUGGGUUGGAGCCGAUCACAUUCCAGGGGUCACAUUUUCAUUUGGAAAUAUAGCAAAAUAUCUCUUACAAUCUCAGCAACAACAGAGGUCAGACCUUUCAUAUUAAUACACAUGUAUUAAGCAUCAGAUAGUGGUCCUCUACAAAGUUUGUUUAAAUUAUACCCCUGAGGUAAAAGCUGGCAUUGGUUUCACACUUUUAAUAUUGACGUAACCAGCAAACUAACUGACAAGGCUAUAGAUAACUUUUAUGGUAUAUUGAGUUUUUCACCCUCUGUUUUGACAACAAUAGGAUUUUUGUAAAUUCAAUAGAGUUUUAGCAAAAAAAUUUACCACCUACUUUUGAGCUUAAUUGGGUUUUUCACCCCUGGUUUUUUAACUCGAUUGGGUAAUUUAGGGAAUGACAUAAUAUAAUAUAAUAAAAAUCUACUAAGGUUACUAUAAUUGUAAUACAAAUGGAAUUCAAAAAGGUACCUGUACAUAACAAAAAACAAUUACUUUAUUUCUGAUCCAAGUUCAUUCAUUUUUGCGUUGGAUAAGACCGAGUUCGUACAAAUCGCGGCACAAUUGAUAAAAUUAUGGCUGUUCAAAGCGAUGCACCCCGUUUGCGGGUCAUUUUGAGUUGAAUACAUGUACAUUGGAAAUGAAAGAAGAAAUCGGACGGGUCUACGAAUAAUUACAAUAAUACCCCAAAGAUCGAUAACCGCUGGAAAGACUGCCUUCUUUUCUCCAAAGGACGGCAUAUAAACUAUCCAGUACAUUUUUGUACGGAAAAAAAAUUGUCUUAAAAAUACACCCGGUUUUCGUAAGAAAUGCGUUUCAAGACGCAAUGUUUUUUUUAGGGAAUUACGUUAUAAAAUUUUUAUUUGCGUUUUUGUACUCUUUAUUUUUAAUUUAAUUACGUUUUUGGUUAUUUUAAUUGCGUAAUAAAGCAAAUACGCUUUUUAUCUAUAGCCCUGACUGAUUUUUUUCUCUAUUUAAAGUCCAAAGCCCAUAGAUGUAAUAUUUGAUAGGUAAUAUGACAUGAGAUAGUGGUCCUUAAUUUUAUUCAAAAUAUGCCUCAGUGGUGAAAAUAAGUCUCACUAAUUUUUGUGACACGUUUCAUACAGACUUAUAUAAGAUAUGUUCAAAUUAUGCCCUUUUCAUAACAAUUUGACAGUAGCCUCAGACCAGUGGUCUUGAGUACCACCAAGAUAUCUCAGAUGAGCUUUUAUUGAUCCUCUGGUUUUGUGUAACUGAUCGUCAUGUUUUGUUUAAUUAUACCCCCACAAACGAAGUUUAGGGGGGUAUAUAGGAGUGAAAUUGUCUGUCGGUCUGUCUGUCGGUCCGUAUUAAGUGUCCGCUCUCUAAUUCAAGUAGUUUUCAUCAGAUCUUCACCAAACUUGGUCAGAAGUUGUAUCUACAUGAUGUCUAGGCCAAGUUCGAACAUGGGCCUUGCCGGGUCAAAAACUAGGUCACGGGGUCACUUAGUGCGUUUUAAACAUUCAGCAUGUUUUCCAAUCUCUUAUUCAAGUAGUUUUCAUCCAAUCUUCACCAAACUUGGUCAGAAGUUGUAUCUAGAUGAUGUCUAGGCCAAGUUUGAACAUGGGCCUUGCCGGGUCAAAAACUAGGUGUAGGGGUCACUUAGUGCGUUUUAAACAUUCAUCAUGUUGUCCGCUCUCUAAUUCAAGUAGUUUUCAUCACCGAUCUUCACCAAACUUGGUCAGAAGUUGUAUCUACAUGAUUAUGUCUAGGCCAUGUUUGAACAUGGGCCUUGCCGGGUCUACAACUAGGUCACGAGGUCACUUAGUGCGUUUUUUAACAUUCAGCAUGGUGUCCGCUCUCUAAUUCAAGUAGUUUACAUAUGAUCUUCACCAAACUUGGUCAGAAGUUUUAUGGAGAUGAUCUUAAGGCCAAGUUAGAAGGUGGGCUUUUCUGGGUCAAAAACUAGGUCAAGGGGUUAUUUAGUGCAUUUUAAAAAUUGAGCAUGGUGUCUGCUGUUUUUUGUGAAGACGACAUGCAAAAUAUUAUGUGUCAAUGCGGCAUGUGGGGGUAUUUGUCACGUCUGUGACAAAGCUCUAGUUUAUUUUCUUGUUUUCUUGCUUUGUUUAUGUGAUCUUCUUAUUUUGUUAUAUUGUUUAAGUUAUCCUCUUGUUUUUGUAUUUUGGUACACUGGUUAAAUUAUAUGAAAAACACAUUUUCCAAAAUAGAUCAUUUUACAUGAUUUUUUUCAUGGUUUUCUUGAAUGGUCAAUAACAAUUUUUUGUGAGCAAAUACCAGAUACUUAAAUACCUGCUGAGUAUAAGAUCGGCAUAAAUGUGUAUAUAGCUCAAAUUUCUGUGAUAUAUUAAGAUGCAGAACAGCUGUCACUACAUGUUCUAUGCUUUCAAACAAUGUUUUUGUCAUUGAUCUCGUUGCAUGUUACUCAUUAUGUACUAAAUUGUGAUUGAGUUUUGUCUAUUUACUUGAAAGUUGAAAUAAACUGUUGGUACAUAUUUUGUUUUUUUCCUUGAUACUCACAUGUUAACAAUAAUUGUUGUUUGUAUUGAUAUUGCAAUAAGUAAAUACUAUUUAAUUCUUUUUUCACCUUUUUUUUACCUUGCUGCACUGCUUAAUUAUCAAAUUAAAUCAAGAUCUGGUUACUUAGUAUUUUGAUACUUUUAGUUAGGUUAUUUUAUUGACUGAUAUUUUGCCUUGGGUCCAUAUUUUAAAGAAGUACAUUAAAAUAUGACCCAUUUUAUGCGAAAAAAGGUUUUAUGCCUUAUGUGGCCGGCCAGCUCCUGACCAGAAUGCUCGAUUGUUGUAAACACCAUCAAUCAAAUAUUGUUUAUUACUGUUAAAUUUGUAACAACCAAGUAAACACAGAUGCAGAACUUUUGUUUCAUUUAUUUUCUUGUGAGAACUUUUAUUCCAGUUUUUAUUCAUCAAAAUGUUUUGCCUGUUUUAAAAAAAAAAAUAAGAUUAUAUAUUCUUGCUUUAAAUGCCAAAAAAAUCAAUGAAUAUUUAUUUGUAUGUGUUUAUUUAAAAAAUGGUUGAAUUUGAAUUGGUAACUACAACUACUACUACUACUACUACUACUACUACUACUACUACUACUACUACUACUACUACUACUACUACUACUACUACUGCUACUGCUACUACUAUUGCUGCUACUGCUACUAUGACUACGACGACGACUACCAGUACUGCUAUUUCUACAAACAACUAAUAAUAAUGUUGAAAAAUUAACCUACUUAAUUUUUAACAUUUAGUCAAAUUUUCGUUAUUUUUUUAAUAUCAUAGUGGCAUGAAAUGUUCUAUUUUGUCAAACUAAAUGAAAAUUUAGAUAUACAUCUAUUUUAUUCAAUUGUUUGUAACAAUUUGUUGAUUGAAAGAUUAAGUGAAGCAUUAUUUUCAGGUAUUUUACAUCAUAACUUUUCAAGUAAUUAUACUUAAAGACAUGUAUAUUGAUUUAGAUGUUGUUUUACCAUGUAGAUCUAGUAAAUGUAGCAAUUUAACUAUCUUAUUAACCAAGACUGUUUUUUAUUAUUCGUUGUGUUUUGAGUAGUAUAUUCUGAUAAAUAAAUAUACAGCAAAAUGCAA